GCUUGUGUGUGCUUGUGUCUGUGUGUCUCUGAAUGUGUGUGUGCUUGUGUCUGUGUGUCUCUGAGUGUGUGUGAGUGUGUGUGUGUUUGUGUGUGUGUGUGUGGGUGUGUGCUUGUGUCUGUGUGUCUCUGAGUGUGUGUGUGUGUGUGUGUGUGUGUGUGUGUGUGUGUGUGUGUGUGUGUGUGUGUGUGUGUGUGUCUCUGAGUGUGUGUGUGUGUGUGUGUGUGUGUGUGUGUGUGUCUGUGUGUCUCUGACAUGGGUGGAUGCUGUACAGAAUUGUUAGCCCUGUGCAAACAGUUUUCAAUUACACAGUGCCACGGUUUCGACACACGGACACACACACACUGCCACGGUUCACGGCCUCACAGCUCUCUUUCAAUGACUCAUUCAGCUGAGCUGUUUACACCCUGACCAUCUGUAAAUAAGGUUGUGGUGUUUUUGAGUACAGCAGCUCUCUGUUCUGCUCUUACCUUCAGGAGGUCGUUACUGUACGCUACAGUCGAUAAACCAGGAGGCCUGUACUGGAGGACUCUGUACGCUACAGUCGAUAAACCAGGAGGUCUGUACUGGAGGACUCUGUACACUACAGUCGAUAAACCAGGAGGUCUGUACUGGAGGACUCUGUACACUACAGUCUGUAAACCAGGAGGUCUGUACAGGAGGACUCUGUACGCUACAGUCUGUAAACCAGGAGGUCUGUACAGGAGGACUCUGUACGCUACAGUCUGUAAACCAGGAGGCCUGUACAGGAGGACUCUGUACGCUACAGUCGAUAAACCAGGAGGUCUGUACAGGAGGACUCUGUACGCUACAGUCGAUAAACCGGGAG
rnacentral:lncRNA from 1 species